AUGCCAACUGAGCAUUGGACUACCACCGCCUGCCCCUGGCUCAGCGCCCGGUGCCAACAGAACACCUUUCAGGAUCCACAGCAACGCAGACAACGGAACUCACACAGACUUCGGUUCUCAAGAGGCCAUCAAAACAUAACUGCUGUGGAGGCAAUACCUUUCCUUCCCCUCACUAUACUCACUGAAUGUUCUGGAUCAGUGCGUCUCACAUCUUUGGAUCUUAUAAGCUACUUGGAAAAAUUUUAAAGCACCUGAUGGAUUUGGAAAAUAUUUGAUGAAGACAAUGAUGCUGACAUUUCAAGUUAAAAGGUAGUAUUCCUUUUUCUAUUAUUUUAAUAUUUCUGAAUGCAUAGCAGAAUAUUGCUUCUUGUACAUACACUUAUCGUUAAUUUUUUGCCAGUGCUAAUGGAUACAAUUGGUACAAUUGUAUGACACUGACAAAGCCACCUGUGACUGUAUUAAUUUGGUUUGAGUUACAUAUAGUUUCACAGUGAACUGAAAACCUAUUCAGUUAUAUGCCAGUAUGUGUGUGUGAUCAUCUUCCCUUACAGAAAUAAAGGUAGCAUUAUUACUUCAAGUUGAUUGUUCAGACUUUCUGUCCCUAUUUACCCAAGACUAGUUUUUGUAGCUCAAAUUUUAGCAUUUUGUCAGGUAAGAUUGCAGGUGGCAGGUGUCACCUAAUAUUUGGAUGAAUAUUUUCAAAACUCAGUUUUUUCCUAUAAACCCCUAAAGGAUUAUAGAACAACUUCCAAGCCUGUGCUUUCAUGAGUAACUUAAGUUCUUAACUGCAGUAUCAUUGAAUGUGAGAAGAAUUGCAAGUAAUAUGCUAAAAAACUUUCAGAUCUUUUCUUUUCUUUCACAGCAAAAGGAUUAUAGCCAAUGACAUGGCUAGUUACAUUUCCCAGCCUUCUUCCCAGUUAAUUACAACCACAUGAGUAGGUUUUCUCCAGUAUGAGUUGGCAGGAUAUAUACCACUUCUGGGCUGGUCUUUUGAGAAAUCAGGUGUGCCUUCUCCAUACUUUUUCCUUCCACUGGCUAGAGAAAAGUCAUGUUCUUGUGUGUUUUUCUGCAUUAGUGACAGUAAAAAAAAAUAUUUUCUCAUAUGCCUCUAGAACACCUCCUCCUUAUAUCUGGAACACAUGACCAUACCUAACUCCAAGAAUAUCUGGGAAAUUGAGUAUCUAGCUAUUUCCACCUCUAUGGUUGGAAGUGGGCAAGGGAGAAGGAGGUCAGAAAUGGAUAGCUAAUAAACCAUGUCUGCAAUAAUGACCUAAACACAUAAUGCAAGAAUUUUGAAGCAAAACAAAAUAAACACAAUUUGGGUGGAGAUAAUUUAGAAAGUAGCAGAAAAUAGUGAAGUAAACAAAAAGCCUGAAAGAAUUAGCUAAUAGCCAUUAGAAUAGCUAAUAGAAAGAACUAACUGAUAGCUAACAAAAAGCCUGAAAGAACCAGCUAAUGACUAUUAGCUUUUUCAGUGCCUCUUUUAUUGUAAACUAUGACUAUUAGCUACUUCUUUAAAAGUCCAACCUAAUUGACUUAAUGACUAUUAGCUAGUUCUUUAAAAGUCCAACCUAAUUGUGAAAAUUCUGGCAAUUCUGACAAAGGAAAACAGAGUCACUAAUAAACAACUUAAGGCAGCAGACAUAAAUGCAGACAAAGAGUUUUUUCCAAGUGUAAAAGAAAGCUAAGUAUGCAUUAAUGCCAACAAAUUUGGAAAUCUAGAGUAUAAGGUUGAUUUUUCUAGAAAAUGUAAAUUAUAAACAUUGACUCAAGAAGAAGCAGAAUACUAUCAUGGAAGAAAUUUUUCAAAUAGUCAAAGAUGUAAUCCUUAAAAAGCCUUGAGACUAGAUGGUAUUGUGGGUAAACUAUUUUAAAACUUAAAGAGAUAAUUCCUAGGAUAUAUAAAUUUUCCAGAAUAGAAAAAGAUAGAAACCUUCCCCAUUGGCUGUAUAUGGCUAUCAUAAUCUUGUUUAUAAAUUCAUACAAAUAAUAAGGAACAACAGAAUAAGCCAAUUUAUGAACAUGUUUAAAUUCUAAAUAUUAGCAAAUUAAGUGCUGUUUUGAAAGAAAAUAAUGUGUUUCUAGCUGAUAUGAGAUUUAAGAUCUUGAUUGAUUAAAAUUUUGUUUCUGGAAUGCAAGGAUAGUUUAACAUUAGGAAGUCUAUUAAUUUAAUAUAUUACAUUGCCAGACUAAAGUAGAAAACCAGACAGUCUUCUUAAAAGAUGCCAAAGAACAGUUUGAUAACACUUAUUUCUAAUUGAAUGCAGUUUUUAAAAUCUUUUAGUAAACUGAGAAAAGGAAAAAACAAACACCUUUAUCCAAUAAAGGUUUAUGCUAGAAAUCUACAAUAAACAUUAUAAUUAAAAGUAUUUGGCAGAGAUGGCUAGCUGUACUCCACUAUCUGUUUCCCUGUUCUUCCUCAGUUAUAUGAUGAAUCCUGUUUUUAAAGCCAGGCUCCUGACACCUGAAAUAAAAAUUACAUUUCUCAGUUUCCCUGGCCACCAGGUAUAGCCAUGUGAUGAGGCUGGCUAAGUUUGACAAGUUAGCUAUAAACAAAGUUAUCAAGAAUAACUUCAAGGGACUGUCCUUGUCAACAGAGAUGAAUUUCAAAAGCCCACAAUAUCAAGUUACAAAAGGCUACAGGCAUUGUAAUACCAACUGUAUAGAUGUUUAAAACAUACAGCUUAAUAAAUAUGACUUAAAGGUACACAUAAAAAUAUAGAAAAUGUUCAUGAGAAUGAAACACCAAUAUCAGAGGGAAUGGGAAGGGAAUGAGAUGCGGUAGGGGCGUCUUAGCUUUAUUUGUAACGUUUUAUUUCCUUAAAGCUAACAAAAACAAUAGGGAAGUGUUCCAAAUCAACUGUGGCAAACAAUUAACACCUAGCUGUUAAUGUGUUUUUCUAUGUGUAUAAAUGUUGCGUAAUUUAAAAAUCUUUAGUUGUAUAAAAUAAAGACUUGAAACAAAAGGAAGUCAAAAUAAAAUAUCAGAGGUUUCUUUGUUCUUCUCAAAUUCCAGGAUGAUUGAACAUAUGUGAGCCUCAGGGCUUGGCCUAAUUGCCUCCUCUCCAAGUAAAAAAAAUGUCCCAAAGCAAAGGCUAAAGGUAAUCACUUUGAUAUGUCAUAUCCCAGAGAUCGUUCUGGUGAAGGAAUCAAUUCAGAUGCUCUGUAACUAGCAAUAGAUUAUUAAAUGACUACAAUCAGAGUAAAACUACCCUUAUAUUUACUGCAGGGAUUCUUUUGCUGAGUUUGUCCACUAAAGGUAAUAACAGUAGAAAAUGAAAUGUAAUAUAGCCCAUUCAUAAACAGCAACAAAAAGCAUUAAAUGCCUAAGAAUAAACCUAACAAGAAUUACGCAAGACUAUAAAAAUUUACCAAAAUUUAUAAAAGGUAAUCUAAAUAAAUGGAAAGAUACUCUAUCUAUUCCCUAGAUGGAAACACUCAAUAUUUCACCGGUAUUAAUUCUCCUCAACUUAAUCUACACAUUUAAACAAAAUCCCAUACAGUGGAACCUGAUAAUCUAAUUUUCAGAUUCAUCCAAAAUAGGAUAUCCAGGAAUACUUUUUAAAAGAUAAUGAGGAGAUCAUAUCAGAAAUAAAAAUAUAUUAUAAAGCUUUAAUAAUUGAAACAGCAUGGUAUGAACAGCAAAAUAGAAAAAUAGAUGAUUCAGAAACAUUAAUAUAUAUAAAAUUUUAAUAUAAUAUGUGGUAUAUUUGAAAUCAGCAAAAUGAGUAAGAAAUGAUAUAUAUACAAAUAUUAUGUAUAUGGUUAGACCCUAACUAUAAUGUUCACGAAUAUAAAUUCCAAAUUGAUUACAGAGAUAAACCUAAAGACAAAAAAUUUACAAAACUAUCAGAAGAGAAGAGAGGAAUAUUUCUCUAUUUUAUAGUAGGGAGGACCUUCUUAAGUUAAAAACAAUACCCAGAAGUCAUAAGUGAAGAAAUGUAUAGGUUGGAUUUCACAAAUGGUAACAUAAGGUGGGAGAAGAUAUUUGCAACAUGUAUAACUGAAAAAGUGUUCAUAACCACAACAUGUAAAGAGGUCCUAAAAAUCAGUAGAGAAAAAUUCAGUCAAAAAUGAUAAAAAGAUAGAGACAAAUACAGAAUAAUAUUAAAUAAGAAAUAAAAUGUUCAAGACUCAUGUGAAAAUAUUCUUCAUCUCAUUAGUAAUCAGACAGAAAGCAAAUUGAAAAAAAGGAGUGAGAUUUGCCAGUUGAUUGGCCAGUACUUUAGAUUGAUAAUUCUCAGUAUUAGCAAGAACCUGAAGAAACAAGUACACUCUCAUGCACCCAUUACCUAUCUAUUCCAUUUUCACCCUUGUUCACUCCCGUCUUGCCACACUAGCCAUCUUGCUAGUACACACUAGCUCUCUCUCCACCCUUAUAUACUUUGACUUGCUGUUUCCUCUACCUUGAAUCCUCUUCCCUCAGAUAGUGGGGUGGCUAACUCC
rnacentral:lncRNA from 1 species